rnacentral:rRNA from 1 species
AGAUUGAACGCUAGCGGGAUGCUUUACACAUGCAAGUCGAACGGCAGCGCGGACUUCGGUCUGGCGGCGAGUGGCGAACGGGUGAGUAAUAUAUCGGAACGUGCCCAGUAGCGGGGGAUAACUACGCGAAAGCGUGGCUAAUACCGCAUACCGCCCGGUAACGGGGGGAAAGGGGGAAGCGACAACGACCUCUCACUUAGUUGGAGCGGCCGAUAUCAGUAUUAGCUUAGGUUGGU